GGGGGAUAUUGCGCAAUGGGGGCAACCCUGACGCAGCAACGCCGCGUGAAGGAUGAAGGUUUUCGGAUUGUAAACUUCUUUUAUUAAGGACGAAAAAUGACGGUACUUAAUGAAUAAGCUCCGGCUAACUACGUGCCAGCAGCCGCGGUAAUACGUAGGGAGCAAGCGUUGUCCGGAUUUACUGGGUGUAAAGGAUGCGUAGGCGGCUUUGCAAGUCAGAUGUGAAAUCUAUGGGCUCAACCCAUAAACUGCAUUUGAAACUGUAGAGCUUGAGUGAAGUAGAGGCAGGCGGAAUUCCCCGUGUAGCGGUGAAAUGCGUAGAGAUGGGGAGGAACACCAGUGGCGAAGGCGGCCUGCUGGGCUUUAACUGACGCUGAGGCACGAAAGCGUGGGUAGCAAACAGGAUUAGAUACCCUGGUAGUCCACGCUGUAAACGAUGAUUACUAGGUGUGGGGGGUCUGACCCCUUCCGUGCCGGAGUUAACACAAUAAGUAAUCCACCUGGGGAGUACGGCCGCAAGGUUGAAACUCAAAGGAAUUGACGGGGGCCCGCACAAGCAGUGGAGUAUGUGGUUUAAUUCGAAGCAACGCGAAGAACCUUACCAGGUCUUGACAUCCAACUAACGAAGUAGAGAUACAUUAGGUGCCCUUCGGGGAAAGUUGAGACAGGUGGUGCAUGGUUGUCGUCAGCUCGUGUCGUGAGAUGUUGGGUUAAGUCCCGCAACGAGCGCAACCCUUGCUAUUAGUUGCUACGCAAGAGCACUCUAAUAGGACUGCCGUUGACAAAACGGAGGAAGGUGGGGACGACGUCAAAUCAUCAUGCCCCUUAUGACCUGGGCUACACACGUACUACAAUGGAUGUUAACAGAGGGAAGCAAGACAGCGAUGUGGAGCAAACCCCUAAAAACAUUCUCAGUUCAGAUUGCAGGCUGCAACCCGCCUGCAUGAAGAUGGAAUUGCUAGUAAUCGCGGAUCAGCAUGCCGCGGUGAAUACGUUCCCG
rnacentral:rRNA from 1 species